GCCGCUAUAGCUCGGUGGUGGAGCACUGGUCUCGUAAACCAGGGGUCGUGAGUUCAAAGCUCACUGGCGGCA
rnacentral:tRNA from 1 species